rnacentral:rRNA from 1 species
CAGCAGCCGCGGUAAUACAUAGGGUGCGAGCGUUAAUCGGAAUUACUGGGCGUAAAGCGUGCGUAGGCGGUGAGUUAAGUCUGCUGUGAAAUCCCCGGGCUCAACCUGGGAAUGGCAGUGGAUACUGGCUCGCUAGAGUGUGUCAGAGGAUGGUGGAAUUCCCGGUGUAGCGGUGAAAUGCGUAGAGAUCGGGAGGAACAUCAGUGGCGAAGGCGACUAUCUGGGCCAACACUGACACUGAGGCACGAAAGCGUGGGGAGCAAACAGGAUUAGAUACCCCUGUAGUCCCUGUCUCUUAUAA